AUCGAGAAUCUUUAAAGCGUUCAUCCUCCUCUUCAGUCACUGCUAUUGCUGACUCAGGUAAUGCAACUACGUGCCUUCUCUCAUCCUCCUCCAAGUGGGUUAUAGACUCGGGUGCCACGGAUCAUAUGACAGGAUCUUUUGACGAAGAGGGUUAUUGGUAAGGGGCGCGAGUCUGGGGGCCUCUAUAUUCUUGACACCACGAGGCGAGAGCUUAUUGCUUGUUCAGGUGCUGUCACUCCAGUAGAAGCUCAUUGUCGUUUGGGGCAUCCUUCCCUUCCCUUGUUGAAGAAAUUGUGUCCGCAGUUUUCAAGUUUGUCUUCUUUA